rnacentral:rRNA from 1 species
GGGUUGUGAGGUUAAGCGACUAAGCGUACACGGUGGAUGCCCUGGCAGUCAGAGGCGAUGAAGGACGUGCUAAUCUGCGAUAAGCGUCGGUAAGGUGAUAUGAACCGUUAUAACCGGCGAUUUCCGAAUGGGGAAACCCAGUGUGAUUCGUCACACUAUCAUUAACUGAAUCCAUAGGUUAAUGAGGCGAACCGGGGGAACUGAAACAUCUAAGUACCCCGAGGAAAAGAAAUCAACCGAGAUUCCCCCAGUAGCGGCGAGCGAACGGGGAGGAGCCCAGAGCCUGAAUCAGUGUGUGUGUUAGUGGAAGCGUCUGGAAAGGCGCGCGAUACAGGGUGACAGCCCCGUACACAAAAAUGCACAUGCUGUGAGCUCGAUGAGUAGGGCGGGACACGUGGUAUCCUGUCUGAAUAUGGGGGGACCAUCCUCCAAGGCUAAAUACUCCUGACUGACCGAUAGUGAACCAGUACCGUGAGGGAAAGGCGAAAAGAACCCCGGCGAGGGGAGUGAAAAAGAACCUGAAACCGUGUACGUACAAGCAGUGGGAGCACGCUUAGGCGUGUGACUGCGUACCUUUUGUAUAAUGGGUCAGCGACUUAUAUUCUGUAGCAAGGUUAACCGAAUAGGGGAGCCGAAGGGAAACCGAGUCUUAACUGGGCGUUAAGUUGCAGGGUAUAGACCCGAAACCCGGUGAUCUAGCCAUGGGCAGGUUGAAGGUUGGGUAACACUAACUGGAGGACCGAACCGACUAAUGUUGAAAAAUUAGCGGAUGACUUGUGGCUGGGGGUGAAAGGCCAAUCAAACCGGGAGAUAGCUGGUUCUCCCCGAAAGCUAUUUAGGUAGCGCCUCGUGAAUUCAUCUCCGGGGGUAGAGCACUGUUUCGGCAAGGGGGUCAUCCCGACUUACCAACCCGAUGCAAACUGCGAAUACCGGAGAAUGUUAUCACGGGAGACACACGGCGGGUGCUAACGUCCGUCGUGAAGAGGGAAACAACCCAGACCGCCAGCUAAGGUCCCAAAGUCAUGGUUAAGUGGGAAACGAUGUGGGAAGGCCCAGACAGCCAGGAUGUUGGCUUAGAAGCAGCCAUCAUUUAAAGAAAGCGUAAUAGCUCACUGGUCGAGUCGGCCUGCGCGGAAGAUGUAACGGGGCUAAACCAUGCACCGAAGCUGCGGCAGCGACACUGUGUGUUGUUGGGUAGGGGAGCGUUCUGUAAGCCUGCGAAGGUGUGCUGUGAGGCAUGCUGGAGGUAUCAGAAGUGCGAAUGCUGACAUAAGUAACGAUAAAGCGGGUGAAAAGCCCGCUCGCCGGAAGACCAAGGGUUCCUGUCCAACGUUAAUCGGGGCAGGGUGAGUCGACCCCUAAGGCGAGGCCGAAAGGCGUAGUCGAUGGGAAACAGGUUAAUAUUCCUGUACUUGGUGUUACUGCGAAGGGGGGACGGAGAAGGCUAUGUUGGCCGGGCGACGGUUGUCCCGGUUUAAGCGUGUAGGCUGGUUUUCCAGGCAAAUCCGGAAAAUCAAGGCUGAGGCGUGAUGACGAGGCACUACGGUGCUGAAGCAACAAAUGCCCUGCUUCCAGGAAAAGCCUCUAAGCAUCAGGUAACAUCAAAUCGUACCCCAAACCGACACAGGUGGUCAGGUAGAGAAUACCAAGGCGCUUGAGAGAACUCGGGUGAAGGAACUAGGCAAAAUGGUGCCGUAACUUCGGGAGAAGGCACGCUGAUACGUAGGUGAAGUCCCUCGCGGAUGGAGCUGAAAUCAGUCGAAGAUACCAGCUGGCUGCAACUGUUUAUUAAAAACACAGCACUGUGCAAACACGAAAGUGGACGUAUACGGUGUGACGCCUGCCCGGUGCCGGAAGGUUAAUUGAUGGGGUCAGCGCAAGCGAAGCUCUUGAUCGAAGCCCCGGUAAACGGCGGCCGUAACUAUAACGGUCCUAAGGUAGCGAAAUUCCUUGUCGGGUAAGUUCCGACCUGCACGAAUGGCGUAAUGAUGGCCAGGCUGUCUCCACCCGAGACUCAGUGAAAUUGAACUCGCUGUGAAGAUGCAGUGUACCCGCGGCAAGACGGAAAGACCCCGUGAACCUUUACUAUAGCUUGACACUGAACAUUGAGCCUUGAUGUGUAGGAUAGGUGGGAGGCUUUGAAGUGUGGACGCCAGUCUGCAUGGAGCCGACCUUGAAAUACCACCCUUUAAUGUUUGAUGUUCUAACGUUGACCCGUAAUCCGGGUUGCGGACAGUGUCUGGUGGGUAGUUUGACUGGGGCGGUCUCCUCCUAAAGAGUAACGGAGGAGCACGAAGGUUGGCUAAUCCUGGUCGGACAUCAGGAGGUUAGUGCAAUGGCAUAAGCCAGCUUGACUGCGAGCGUGACGGCGCGAGCAGGUGCGAAAGCAGGUCAUAGUGAUCCGGUGGUUCUGAAUGGAAGGGCCAUCGCUCAACGGAUAAAAGGUACUCCGGGGAUAACAGGCUGAUACCGCCCAAGAGUUCAUAUCGACGGCGGUGUUUGGCACCUCGAUGUCGGCUCAUCACAUCCUGGGGCUGAAGUAGGUCCCAAGGGUAUGGCUGUUCGCCAUUUAAAGUGGUACGCGAGCUGGGUUUAGAACGUCGUGAGACAGUUCGGUCCCUAUCUGCCGUGGGCGCUGGAGAAUUGAGGGGGGCUGCUCCUAGUACGAGAGGACCGGAGUGGACGCAUCACUGGUGUUCGGGUUGUCAUGCCAAUGGCACUGCCCGGUAGCUAAAUGCGGAAGAGAUAAGUGCUGAAAGCAUCUAAGCACGAAACUUGCCCCGAGAUGAGUUCUCCCUGACUCCUUGAGAGUCCUGAAGGAACGUUGAAGACGACGACGUUGAUAGGCCGGGUGUGUAAGCGCAGCGAUGCGUUGAGCUAACCGGUACUAAUGAACCGUGAGGCUUAACCUUACAACGCCGAAGGUGUUU